rnacentral:rRNA from 11 species
ACUUCCCUGUCCCUGCAGUCACCAGAUCCUGUCUGAUCUUGGAAGCUAAGCAGGGUCAGGCCUAGCUAGUACUUGGGGGGACACCACAAACACAUGCUACAUGUGAUAUUUCAGAGGAAGGC